rnacentral:misc_RNA from 1 species
GAUGAAGAACGUCGCGAAAUGCGAUAAGUAAUGUGAAUUGCAGAAUUCAGUGAAUCAUCGAAUCUUUGAACGCACAUUGCGCCCGCCAGUAUUCUGGCGGGCAUGCCUGUCUGAGCGUCAUUUCAACCCUCAUGCCCCUAGGGCGUGGUGUUGGGGAUCGGCCAAAGCCCGCGAGGGACGGCCGGCCCCUAAAUCUAGUGGCGGACCCGUCGUGGCCUCCUCUGCGAAGUAGUGAUAUUCCGCAUCGGAGAGCGACGAGCCCCUGCCGUUAAACCCCCAACUUUCCAAGGUUGACCUCAGAUCAGGUAGGAAUACCCGCUGAACUUAAGCAUAUCAAUAAGCGGAGGA